rnacentral:lncRNA from 1 species
UCCAAUAAAAUUUAAUACCAAAUGUCACAUACUCCAAUUUAAAUAGAAGGAACGUCACAUUUACAUAGUCUCUACUAAUAAGAAAUAAAUGUCAAAAUAGGCCCCAAAACAUUCAAUUACAAAAUCUUAGGAAAACCAAGUCUAAUAAUAAUCUCAAAAGCUAAUUUACUCAAUUGGAUCAAAGGUAGCUCUCAUCACACAUAUCCUGAUCACCCCUGAUUACCUGCCUGAA